AUUGAACGCUGGCGGCAGGCCUAACACAUGCAAGUCGAGCGGGGUUUUCGGACCUAGCGGCGGACGGGUGAGUAAUGCGUAGGAAGCUGCCCGAUAGAGGGGGAUACCAGUUGGAAACGACUGUUAAUACCGCAUAAUGUCUACGGACCAAAGUGUGGGACCUUCGUGCCACAUGCUAUCGGAUGCGCCUACGUGGGAUUAGCUAGUUGGUGAGGUAAUGGCUAACCAAGGCGACGAUCUCUAGCUGGUUUGAGAGGAUGAUCAGCCACACUGGAACUGAGACACGGUCCAGACUCCCACGGGAGGCAGCAGUGGGGAAUAUUGGACAAUGGGCGCAAGCCUGAUCCAGCCAUGCCGCGUGUGUGAAGAAGGCCUUCGGGUUGUAAAGCACUUUCAGCGAGGAGGAAGGGUGGUGUGUUAAUAGCACAUCAUUUUGACGUUACUCGCAGAAGAAGCACCGGCUAACUCUGUGCCAGCCGCCGCUGUAAAAC
rnacentral:rRNA from 1 species